rnacentral:rRNA from 1 species
GAGGAAAAGAAACCAACAGGGAUUGCCCUAGUAACGGCGAGUGAAGCGGCAACAGCUCAAAUUUGAAAUCUGGCCCUCGGGUCCGAGUUGUAAUUUGUAGAGGAUGCUUUUGGCGCGGUGCCUUCCGAGUUCCCUGGAACGGGACGCCUUAGAGGGUGAGAGCCCCGUACGGUUGGACACCAAGCCUCUGUAAAGCUCCUUCGACGAGUCGAGUAGCUUGGGAAUGCUGCUCUAAAUGGGAGGUAAAUUUCUUCUAAAGCUAAAUAUUGGCCAGAGACCGAUAGCGCACAAGUAGAGUGAUCGAAAGAUGAAAAGCACUUUGAAAAGAGGGUUAAACAGCACGUGAAAUUGUUGAAAGGGAAGCGUUUGCGACCAGACCUUUUCCUAGCGGAUCAUCCGGUGUUCUCACCGGUGCACUUCGCUAGGUUUAGGCCAGCAUCGGUUUCUGUAGGGGGAUAAAAGCUCUGGGAACGUAGCUCCUCCGGGAGUGUUAUAGCCCUCUGCAUAAUACCCUUACGGGGACCGAGGACCGCGCUUCGGCAAGGAUGCUGGCGUAAUGGUCGUCAACGACCCGUCUUGA